rfam:Bombyx mori DNA, contig: Bm_scaf98_contig35688, strain: p50T/Dazao, build 2, whole genome shotgun sequence.
UAUGAUUAACAUAAGUAGGUUUUAUUCAGUUUGUGUUUCAUUCAAACCGUAUAAACCCUACUUUUGCUGAUGAUAA